UACGUAGGGUCCGAGCGUUAAUCGGAAUUACUGGGCGUAAAGCGUGCGCAGGCGGUUUUGUAAGCCAGAUGUGAAAUCCCCGGGCUCAACCUGGGAACUGCAUUUGGGGACUGCAAGGCUAGAGUACGGCAGAGGGGGGUAGAAUUCCUGGUGUAGCAGUGAAAAUGCGUAGAUAUCAGGAGGAAUACCGAUGGCGAAGGCAGCCCCCUGGGUCGAUACUGACG
rnacentral:rRNA from 1 species